rnacentral:rRNA from 1 species
AAUGAACGCUGGCGGCAGGCCUAACACAUGCAAGUCGAACGAGGCAGCAAUGCCUAGUGGCGGACGGGUGAGUAACGCGUGGGAACGUGCCCCUUGGUACGGAAUAACCCUGGGAAACUGGGAGUAAUACCGUAUGUGGUCGAGAGACGAAAGAUUUAUCGCCAAGGGAUCGGCCCGCGUUGGAUUAGGUAGUUGGUGGGGUGAUGGCCUACCAAGCCGACGAUCCAUAGCUGGUUUGAGAGGAUGAUCAGCCACACUGGGACUGAGACACGGCCCAGACUCCUACGGGAGGCAGCAGUGGGGAAUCUUAGACAAUGGGGGAAACCCUGAUCUAGCCAUGCCGCGUGAUCGAUGAAGGCCUUAGGGUUGUAAAGAUCUUUCAGGUGGGAAGAUAAUGACGGUACCACCAGAAGAAGCCCCGGCUAACUCCGUGCCAGCAGCCGCCGUAA